AUUGAACGUUGGCGGCACGCCUAAUACAUGCAAGUCGAACGAGAAAGCACUUCGGUGUGAGUACAGUGGCGGACGGGUGAGUAACGCGUAGGAAUCUACCUAGUAGUGGGGGACAACUCGAGGAAACUCGAGCUAAUACCGCAUACGCUCUUAGGAGGAAAGUGGGGGAUCUUCGGACCUCACGCUAUUAGAGGAGCCUGCGUUAGAUUAGCUUGUUGGUGAGGUAAAGGCUCACCAAGGCGACGAUCUAUAGCUGGUCUGAGAGGACGAUCAGCCACACUGGAACUGAGACACGGUCCAGACUCCUACGGGAGGCAGCAGUAGGGAAUCUUGGGCAAUGGGCGAAAGCCUGACCCAGCGAUGCCGCGUGUGCGAAGAAGGCCUUAGGGUUGUAAAGCACUUUCAGUCGUGAAGAAAAGCUACGAUUUAAUAUGUCGUGGUCUUGACGUUAGCGACAGAAGAAGUACCGGCUAACUCCGUGCCAGCAGCCGCGGUAAUACGGAGGGUACGAACGUUAAUCGGAAUUACUGGGCGUAAAGCGCGCGUAGGCGGUUUGAUAAGUGGGAUGUGAAAGCCCCGGGCUCAACCUGGGAACUGCAUUCCAAACUGUCAAACUAGAGUGUGGUAGAGGGCGGUAGAAUUUCCUGUGUAGCGGUGAAAUGCGUAGAUAU
rnacentral:rRNA from 1 species